CAGGCAAGUUUUGCUGUCGUCGUGAAACGCGCAACUAUGCGGAAAGGUGUUAUUAUAAUCACAAAAUAGUAUCAUCAU
ensembl:ncRNA F11H8.9 ncRNA